rnacentral:lncRNA from 1 species
UGUUGUUUUCUUUUGCUGUUUCCCGUAUUUCGGCAUGCGUUUAUGAUUCUUUUCAAGAAAUAAGAAUCUUCGCUUCCGCUCGUUUGGCGGUAGAAGACAAAAUAAAAAUGUUGGAUUUCAUGAAAAAAUUUCGAGAAAACGAACUGGGAUUUAGUUGCGGUGGUUUUUUCGUUGUAUCAAAGGAAUGUCCGG